rnacentral:rRNA from 1 species
GACGAACGCUGGCGGCGUGCUUAACACAUGCAAGUCGAACGGAAAGGCCCCCUUGUGGGGUACUCGAGUGGCGAACGGGUGAGUAACACGUGAGUAACCUACCCUUGACUUUGGGAUAACUUCAGGAAACUGGGGCUAAUACCGGAUAGGAGCUCCUGCUGCAUGGUGGGGGUUGGAAGGUUUCGGCGGUUGGGGAUGGACUCGCGGCUUAUCAGCUUGUUGGUGGGGUAGUGGCUCACCAAGGCUUUGACGGGUAGCCGGCCUGAGAGGGUGACCGGCCACAUUGGGACUGAGAUACGGCCCAGACUCCUACGGGAGGCAGCAGUGGGGAAUAUUGCACAAUGGGCGGAAGCCUGAUGCAGCAACGCCGCGUGCGGGAUGACGGCCUUCGGGUUGUAAACCGCUUUCGCCUGUGACGAAGCGUGAGUGACGGUAAUGGGUAAAGAAGCACCGGCUAACUACGUG